rnacentral:rRNA from 1 species
ACGGAGGAUGCGAGCGUUAUCCGGAUUUAUUGGGUUUAAAGGGUGCGUAGGUGGACUGUUUAGUCAGUGGUGAAAUGCUGAUGCUCAACGUUAGCAUUGCCGUUGAAACUGACAGUCUUGAGAGUGAUUGAGGCAGGCGGAAUGUGUGGUGUAGAGUAAGAAUAAAUAGAUCUCACGAAGACUCACAAGUGCGAGGGGAUCUUCCAAAGCCACAACUGACACUGAAGCACGAAAGCGUGGGGAUCAAACAG